GAUGAACGCUGGCGGCAUGCCUAAUACAUGCAAGUCGAACGAAUUUACCUUUUAGGUAAGUUAGUGGCGAACGGGUGAGUAACACGUAGAUAACCAACCCUUAAGACGAGGAUAACCCGGGGAAACCCGUAGGACUAAUACUGGAUAGGAGUUAUUUUCUAAUAAGAAGAUAAUUUUAAAGGUACGCUUCUAAAGACGGCGCUUAAGGAUGGGACUGCGUCGCAUUAGCUAGUUGGUGGGGUAACGGCUCACCAAGGCUACGAUGGAUAGGGGGUCGUGAGAGGAUGAUCCCCCCACCACUGGUACGUGAGACA
rnacentral:rRNA from 1 species